rnacentral:lncRNA from 1 species
UACCGAGUUUUUAAAUUUUUACUAAACAUAUAUUUACUUAUCAAAAAUUUAACAAAGUAAGAUUGAAAUAAUAUUUAAGUAACAAAAAACCCGAAAACCCCGAAAAAUCCGACAAAACCGAACCAAUCCAAACCGAUAUAGUUGAUUUUGCUAAAAAUCGAACCAAUCCGAUCCACGCACACCCUUACUCAAUGUCGAUUAUCUCCCUUUUAUGAUGGUAGGAUUCCAAAAUAACUCGCAUGCACCUUGAUUAAUAUGUCGGAUAACCUGUUAUAAUCGACAAGCCCAAUUAUUAAAAAACUUAUCCAUCAAAAAUAAAAUAGAUGGAAACACUUAACAAGGGUGUGUUAGCCAUGAACUAGAUUAAAAAAUAAAAUAAAAUAAAAUAGAUGAACUUACAUUGAAUAUUUUCACAUAAUUAUAAAAUGAAAUCUUUAAGUUGUUAGUCAUAUGCAUCAACCUGUCAGUUAUAACUUUUGAAACAAGUAUCUCUUUUAAUACUACCUUAGCUCCAAUAUAAUCUUGUAAUCUUUCAAGUUUCUCUUACAUCAAAAAGAUAUUCAAUAACUUAAAAUAAUUAUUAUAUCAUUCUCUUAAAUAUCUCAUUUAAUUAAUACUCAAAGUAAUACCAAUAAAUUUUUAUAAAACGUCAAAUCUUAGAACAAAUUCAAUUUGCAAAAGCGACUAAUAUUUGUGACCGCAAAAAAUAUUAUAGGACCAGUAGUUUAGAAUUUAGUACCGUCUUUUGUUUUUCUUGCAAAUAUUGAAAAUCCAGAUUAAUAUUAAAAAUUUAUUAAUCAUUUUUUAAGGGAAUAGAUAGAACUAACUAGGGUGGUCAACACUCUGUUAAGUGGGGGUGAUGUACGUUUCUCUGUUGACUUACAUGUAAGAACAGAACUCAAAAUGCCUCUGAUGAUGCCACGUAAGGAAAUAAGACCAUUCUGUGGGACCCAGUUCUUACGUGGCAAGAUCAUAAUGGUGUACAACCCUAAUGCGAAUAGAAGGAAUAUACCUUAAGAAGAUGCCAGCAUCAAAAAGCCCUUUAAAUACGGCACUAAUUCUCCAUCUUCUCUUCAUUACUCAGAGAGUUCAGAUUCAGAGAAGCUAAUAAAUGCAAAAAUCAGAGUUUUAUUUUUUGGCUUUUUGUUAAGCCUUUGAACGUAAAGUUUUAUAGGAAAUUUUCUUCAUUGAAAUUUCCAAGAUUUUAGCUUUCUGCUUCUCUACUGUUUCUUGAUUCUGUUUCACUAGCUGGAAAGUGAAAAUUUCGUGGAGAAAAACCAUAUAAGG